rnacentral:lncRNA from 1 species
UUAAUUUGUGCCUGAUUACACUAUCGCAUUUGUGAUCAAACAACAUGUGGUGUUGUCAGACAGAAGUAUAAAUUUAAUAUGUAAACAGACAUUUAAUAGUUUUUUUAGGUAUACUGGUCAGGGCCUUUUUAAGGAUUUUCCUGUGGGGGAGGGGGCAUUUUUUGAAAAGGGACCCUUCUGUGAGAUAAUAUAGAGAGGGGGAUAGGAAUGGCUGAAAGCCACAGGAUCUGGGGGCAUAUUUCCCCCAGAAAAUAUUUGAAAUUUGAAGCCCAGAAAUGCCAUUUAGUGCAUUCUGAGCAUUUAAAUUUGCUCUAAAAUUUACGGUAAGUAUACUUGUAUUUGAAAUAAAAGAAGGAAAAAAUGCAUACUUAGUGGUAGAAAAAGAUAACAAUAUAAAUUUAACGAUUUUGUUAAACAAAUGAAGGACAUUAAGGACAAAGCCUAAAACGUACUUUUUGUUUAUCAAUUUGUCAUUUUUCGCUGGUUUGUUUGUAUAAAUUUAGGAAAAAGGAACUUUUCCUGGGGGAAUGUGAUUUUGUGUGUGUGUGUGUGUGGGGGGGGGGGGNNNNNNNNNNNNNNNNNNNNUUGAUACUGAUCCUCCCAUUAUUUAUCCUACACCAAAUACCUAUUUUAUAAAAAAAAAAUUAAAAAAAAAAAAAAAAAUGACUGUAUUCAAUAGAUUAAUAUUUGUAACCCAUAUGUAGAUUGUGACAUGUUCCCAGCGUCUCCCAUCCCAGAACUUUUGGGGUGAAGACCCUGGGUAUGUUGGUGAGCGCUCUGUUCAUUGUUAAAUUAAACCUUAUAAUUAGUUGAUGUUGCAUAAUCUCAUUAGCUUGCAAACUAUUUUUUUCCUCUUCUUUAUGUGUGCAAACAAUUUAUUUGCACUUUUUUGUCUUUGCAAACAAUUUUUUUAAGAAUUUUCCAUCCCCCCCCUCCAAAAAAAUAAUGGUCCGUCCCUAAUUAUAGAAUACACUAUACAGUAAAAUUUGUAAUAAAUUUUGCCUACUUUGAUUGCAUGUGAUCGUCGUUUAUUUCUGGGCGAUGUAUGAUAAUGUUAUUGACAUAUUAUCCCACAACAAAGCUAGCGGCAGCGAAUUGAAUCUGUUGAAGUCGACUAAGUAAAAAGUCUGGCAAUGGAUAAAAUACAGUGUCACCAUAGUCUACUUUAGAGAAAAUUAAUGAUUUGGCUUUAGUCGGCGAAGUUCUUAAGCUUUUUAAGUGUUCUAAUAGUGCCAUAACAGCUCUUAUACUAGGCAUGAACGUGUUCAUCACAUUUGAGAUGCUCAUGAAAAAGAAGACCUAGUAAUUUAUCACCCCCCCCCCCCACCCACCCCACUAUGUGUAUGGCAGUAUGGGACCACAGUUAAUGUGAUGGGACUAAUCAAAACAAUCGUUAAAUGAGAAUGGCCUUUUUUGAAAUGUUUAGAUUUUAUGUUUAGAUUACAUUGCCGGAAACUUCAUAAAUUGUAAGUUGAUUUUUUCUUGGGUGUAAGGGGCGGGGCAGCCCCCCCCCCUCCCCACUGUGUAUGGGACUAACCAAAAACAAUCCUUAAUUUAUAAUGAGAAUGGCCUUUUUUGAAAUGUUUAGAUUUCAUGUUUAGAUUACAUUGUCGGAAACUUCAUAAAUUGUAAGUUGAUUUUUCUUGGGUGUAAGGGGCGGGGCAGCCCCCCCCCCACUGUGUAUGGGACUAACCAAAAACAAUCCUUAAUUUGUAAUGAGAUUAUGGCCUUUUUUGAAAUGUUUAGAUUUCAUGUUUAGAUUACAUUGUCAGAAACUUCGUAAAUUACCUUCACUACUUCAUAAAUUAUAUUUACUGCAUACUAACACUGAAAUUGUUAUAAUUAUGAAAUUGGCCUAGCCUGCGAGCAGGCUCUCUGGGUGAAAGAGAGCCUGCAAGGAUCCCUAUGAUGAUUGCGUGCCGCCCUUCAAUUAGGAUGUCACUGGUCAAUUAAUAUCAACCAAUCAGCGCAGACCGGAAAUAAACUUCAAUAUUGUAAACAUAAACCGCCCUGCAUAAACCGAUAAACGUUGAACUCCAUUUAUAUUGUAUUCUUUCGUUAGUUUCGAAAACAGACCGCCACUGGGCAUACUAAAAAAGUUAAAACGGCUUGAUGUUUUACAGUGUAAUAUAUCAAGUUUAUUACAAUGUGCAUGUGUUUCUGUAGGCACAGUGAGUUUAAAGUUUUAUAUUUACGGAAGCCGUGAAGGGACUUCAGACAUUGGUUCCGAGCUUCGCUAUAAUAGCCAACAUUUCUUCUGCGAAGCUGGCUAAUAUUUAAGGCACUUAUUCAGUCAAAGCUAUUCAAACUAAUGUUAAAAAUGGU